UUUGUUUCUGCUUAAAAAAAAAAAAAAAACAUUUGUUUCUUCAUAAAAUCAAGAUCAACCUUCAUCAUCAAAUUCCAACAACCCAUUUUCUUCUCACAAUAUCUCAUUCCAAUAACCCACUAUGAUUUUUUCUUAGUUGUGACAGAAGAAAAGUCACUAUCACUAAUUUAUCAUUACUUGCAUCUGGUUAAUGUUCUCUCUCUCACUAAUUUAGGAGUUAUUGAUGGUUAAUCUAUUUGUGUCUGCUUCAAAGGAGCUUCUUUUGGGUUUGUUCAUUUUUGGGUUGCUAUCUGCUCGCCUUCGCGUGGUGGUGGUGAGUUCGUGGGGGUGGUGAUUUUUGUGAUUCUGGGUUUUUUUCUCUCAUGGGUUCGUGGUUGUGUGUCUCUGAAUUUGUGGUGGUGGGGAUCUCUCUUGAAUUUAAUCCUCAUAAAUGAUUGAUUUUGAAUUUGUUGAUUUUAUUGAUAAAUUUGUUGGUGGUAGGUAGUGAUGAAGUUGGGAUUUGGAUGACGAAUAGUUGUUGGAUUUUUUUAUAUUUUUAAAUUAGUUUAUCAUGUGGCAACAUUUCACUAAAUAAAUAAAUUAAAAAUAAAAGAAAAGCCACAUAUACUUGCCAUGUCAUCUUAAAUGAACAGUCAGCAUCCCAGUUGUCAACUCAGGGGGGUAAUUGAUGGAAUCUUGAUAUUGCGAGGGGGUAAUCAAAAAAAUAUAUUUUGCAGGGGGUAAAGCAAAAAUCAGCCAUAUUGCAGGGGGUAAAGACCUAUUAACCCUUAUUUUUAUGUUUUUGUGGGGCAAUAAUAAGCCCCAUA
rnacentral:lncRNA from 1 species